GGUGUAGACGGCUUUUUAAGUCGGAUGUGAAAUCUCUUGACUUAAUCAAGAGAGGUCAUUCGAUACUAUUAGGCUUGAGGACGGCAGAGGAAGGCGGAACUCCCGGUGUAGCGGUGAUAUGCGUAGAUAUCGGGAGGAACACCAGGGGCGAAGGCGGCCUUCUAGGCCAUUCCUGACGUUGAGGCCCAAAAGCGUGGGGAGCGAAAC
rnacentral:rRNA from 1 species